GAUUUUUCGCAUAGGUUUCAUUUCCGGAGUUAUUUUUUACAAAAAAAGAAAGAAAAGUUGUCAAAUGGCCAAAAAAUAGUCACGGUUUUAUUUUUUUUUUAACCCCUUAAACCUUCACCAAAAAUCAUGAAAAUUAUACUACAACACUCUUACAACUUCUACAAUACAACUAUGAUUUUUUUUUGACAAGAAACAACAUAAAAAGGGUAAAUUAAAGCAAAAAACAGCCCCUAAAUGAAGAAAAAUACUUCAAUGCCU
rnacentral:lncRNA from 1 species